rnacentral:rRNA from 1 species
UACGGGGGGUGCAAGCGUUGUUCGGAAUCACUGGGCGUAAAGGGCGCGCAGGCGGCCUGAUUAGUCAGAUGUGAAAGCCCACGGCUUAACUGUGGAAGUGCAUUUGAAACUGUCAGGCUUGAGUACCAGAGGGGAAAGUGGAAUUCCCGGUGUAGAGGUGAAAUUCGUAGAUAUCGGGAGGAAUACCGGUGGCGAAGGCGACUUUCUGGCUGGAUACUGACGCUGAGGCGCGAAAGCGUGGGGAGCAAACAGG